rnacentral:lncRNA from 1 species
ACUGCUUUGAUUAUGUGUGCCAUACUGGGUUACCCAGUUUAGAAUAUUUUCCCCAAAUGUGGAAAAGGAUUAAACAUGACAUAAAACUCACGGAACAUGCCAAGAACCUCGAGCUCAAAUGUCCCUGUGACAUCAGUGGCUGUCAUUGAAAACCCCUAAGAUGGCCCAGAUGCUUUCAGUAUGUCAAAUAUAAUACACACAGCAAACAUGCAAGUUUGGUAUUAUUAUCAGUCUCUAGAGAAAGUGCAGCUGAGGCUUGUACCUAGGAGAACUAAGUCAGGAAGCAAACAGCUUCCUUCCUAGGUCCCGUCUCUCUCCUGUGCCCAUUUUUAUUAAUCACUCAUUCUCUGAUUCUGGAGUAGAGAAACAUGCAUAUAUGAAUUUAUGCUAGUGUUCCCAAACUGAUAUUCCCUAACACAAAUGUCAAAUGUGUUGAUAUUUUCCCAUGAUUAUGAGCUAGUCUGAAAAUUCUGUCUCAACUUGCUGUUCUCAAGUUUGAGCAAUGUCUGAAACUCUAAUAGGGAAGAAAGAUGUAUUAUUGAUUUAAACAAGUCUUUAAAGAAUAUGGCUUUAAAGUGUGUGAACACGAUGAAACUAGUUAUAAACUCUUUAUGCUUGGAGUUCUUACAUAUGCAGUGAUGGAACCUAAAACUAAUUCAAAAAUGAUAUCCAAACAAAACUAUUAACUAUUUCGUAGUUCAUAUCACUAUAGAUUUAUUUAUCUACCUAUUUAUUUAUCUAUUAUUUAUUUGUGCAUGCAGUACUGGGG